rnacentral:rRNA from 1 species
AUACGGAGGGUGCGAGCGUUAAGCGGAAUUACUGGGCGUAAAGCGUACGUAGGCGGUUGGAUAAGUUAGAUGUGAAAGCCCCGGGCUUAACCUGGGAACUGCAUUUAAAACUGGCGAACUAGAGUUGAGUAGAGGGGAGUGGAAUUUCAGGUGUAGCGGUGAAAUGCGUAGAGAUCUGAAGGAACACCAGUGGCGAAGGCGACUCCCUGGACUCGAACUGACGCUGAGGUACGAAAGAGUGGGUAGCAAACGGGAUUAGAUACCCUAGUAGUCC